GGGCCCGCAGCUCAGUCUGGCAGAGCGCGGCCCUUGCGAGGCCGUGGCCCCGGGUUCAAAUCCCGGCGGGUCCA
rnacentral:tRNA from 1 species